AACGUCCCAGUUCGGAUUGUAGUCUGCAACCCGACUACAUGAAGCCGGAAUCGCUAGUAAUCGCGGAUCAGAAUGCCGCGGUGAAUACGUUCCCGGGUCUUGUACACACCGCCCGUCACACCAUGGGAGUCGGAAAUGCCCGAAGCCGGUGACCCAACCCGAAAGGGAGGGAGCCGUCGAAGGCAGGUCGGAUGACUGGGGUGAAGUCGUAACAAGGUAGC
rnacentral:rRNA from 1 species